rnacentral:rRNA from 1 species
UAAGCAUAUCAAUAAGCGGAGGAAAAGAAACCAACAGGGAUUGCCUUAGUAACGGCGAGUGAAGCGGCAACAGCUCAAAUUUGAAAUCUGGUCCCCUUUGGGGGCCCGAGUUGUAAUUUGAAGAGGAUGCUUUUGGCGAGGCGCCGUCCGAGUUCCCUGGAACGGGACGCCGCAGAGGGUGAGAGCCCCGUACGGUCGGACGCCGAGCCUCUGUAAAGCUCCUUCGACGAGUCGAGUAGUUUGGGAAUGCUGCUCAAAAUGGGAGGUAAACCCCUUCUAAAGCUAAAUACUGGCCAGAGACCGAUAGCGCACAAGUAGAGUGAUCGAAAGAUGAAAAGCACUUUGAAAAGAGAGUUAAAAAGCACGUGAAAUUGUUAAAAGGGAAGCGCUUGCGACCAGACUUGCGCCCGUCGGAUCAACCGUCGCUUGCGGCGGCGCACUCCGGCGGGCUCAGGCCAGCAUCAGUUCGUCCGGGGGGAGAAAGGCGGCGGGAAUGUGGCUCUUCGGAGUGUUAUAGCCCGCCGUGUAAUACCCUCGGGUGGACUGAGGACCGCGCGUAUGCAAGGAUGCUGGCGUAAUGGUCGUCAGCGACCCGUCUUGAAACACGGACCAAGGAGUCGUCCUAAUAUGCGAGUGUACGGGUGUCAAACCCCUGCGCGUAAUGAAAGUGAACGGAGGUGAGAGCUUCGGCGCAUCAUCGACCGAUCCUGAUGUUCUCGGAUGGAUUUGAGUAAGAGCAUAUUGGGCCGGACCCGAAAGAAGGUGAACUAUGCCUGUGUAGGGUAAAGCCAGAGGAAACUCUGGUGGAGGCUCGCAGCGGUUCUGACGUGCAAAUCGAUCGUCAAACAUGGGCAUGGGGGCGAAAGACUAAUCGAACCUUCUAGUAGCUGGUUUCCGCCGAAG